UGGGCUUGAAAUCCUCCGAACCUGAUGUAAUUGUCGGAGUGCCCCCUGGGGAAUUGAGUGAC
rnacentral:rRNA from 1 species